rnacentral:snoRNA from 1 species
AAACCAUGAUGGGACUGGUUGAUGUAGCUUCUAAAUCUUUCCCAUGCUUCCCCAAAGAUCUCAUUUGUGUGUUGGGUAAACCUUGAGAUUUGAUUUCUGAGCUU